CAUAAGUUUAAGCUCGGUUAUUAUUUUAUGCAAGUUUUGAAUAACACCCCUCUACUGUUUCUCACACCUCGAGACAAGGUAUGCUUAACAUUUAUUGUACCCUCAUGCACUACUAUAAGAACGAGUAGGAUAUGAAAGAUUAUGCUUAGGAUCUGCACCAAUCCUAAGAAGCCUACAAGAUGACCAAGGCUACUUUAGCCAAGGUUAAAAAGGA
rnacentral:lncRNA from 1 species